AAUCGUGCGCCCCCAAAACCUGAGACCCCCGGUCUUCUCAACUGCAUUUCCUGAAUGUCCAUAAUGAUUAGCGAUUUCUUUGGUCGAUUUUACCCUUUAUUUUGAAUUUCGAACGAUUGCCCUUCCUUCCACAAUUCUAUAAAUACCGAAAUUCUCUCAUUUGUGUUGGAAAUGUGCCCUAAAACCAAUCAUAUGAUGAUACUUUACAGACAUUUCACAUGUUAAACUAAUCUAGUUUAAUAUCAAGGGCAAAGAUUAUUGUUUGAGCCGUCUCAUAUAAAUGUUAUACGUUUAAACGAUAAGUCCAAGGAAUAUGUGAUUGGGAGAAUGCGAUCUAAAGAAGUUAGAUUCAUGAGACCAUUCUUUCGUAGACACAUCCUAAACGUUCCUGAUCAUAGGAUUGCCAAUUGGGCAUUGACAGUCCGUUAAGAUCAGUACGUGCUGUGUCUUCUCUCAGGGAGAGUGACUAGUCUCGAGUCAUUGUUGUGUGUGACAUCAAGACAAGCAUGUAGGUGCUCAAUAGCGAAUGAGUUCACUGAACACGAUCAACGAAGAGUUCUCAUACUCAUGUCACAUGAGAACUCAUGGUUGGGAUAAUGCAAAGUAGUCAUUUGACCUGAGGCAUCACAGUGGUCUUGUGGUUAGGUACUUGAUCUUUGAUUAUGUUAAAGUCACCCCAUCCGCGGGUGUCCACGACAUCGUCGGGGUUAAGCCACUUAGCCAUGGAAGCAAGUGAAUGCGCAACAAGGGAUCUCUAACCUUCAAACCGUUUGGGGGAGAAUACUCUAUGAUAUGAUUAAGAAUCUCUGGCCAGAGUAUGAAUGAGAUUUAGGAAGUCGUUCCAAAUCACAUUCAAGGUAAUCAUGUAAGCACACGAAUCACAUUGGAUAGUAGACAUGAAUAAACUAUCAAACCAAACAAUGUGGUCAAGAGUACUGUAUUAGAGAAAGACCGUAUUGCAUUUGUAAUUCUAAACUGAAUAGGUUCUCCACCUCUUCUGAUUAGCUUGGGUAAC
rnacentral:lncRNA from 1 species